rnacentral:rRNA from 1 species
UACGUAGGGGGCUAGCGUUGUCCGGAAUCAUUGGGCGUAAAGCGCGUGUAGGCGGUUCGGUAAGUCCGCUGUGAAAGUCGGGGGCUCAACCCUCGGAUGCCGGUGGAUACUGUCGAGCUAGAGUACGGAAGAGGCGAGUGGAAUUCCUGGUGUAGCGGUGAAAUGCGCAGAUAUCAGGAAGAACACCCGUGGCGAAGGCGGUUCUCUGGGACGGUACUGACGCUGAGACGCGAAAGCGUGGGGAGCGAACAGG